CAUCUUUCCUUUAAAGUCAAAUAAAUUAUUUAUUUCUUUUACAAAGCAUUACCUCCGAUCCUCCAUCACUAUCAGUUUCUCAUUCCCAUUUCACACAUCUUUAUUUCACCACCUGUUAAUUCCGAUGAGAUGAUCUAAAAGAGAAGCCAAAAAGUUUCAUUCAUCCACCGUCAGAAAACCCUAACAGCCCCCUUUCAUCUGUAAUCUACCAUUCAGAUCCGCCACCUGCUACAAUUUCCGGCCAGAUCCACCACCAGCAACAAGUUCCGGCCAGAUCCACCACCAGCAACAAGUUCCGGCAAGAUACACAAUCACAAAUAAGUUCUCAGGGGCAGUUAAGCUUUCAGACGGUAACCAAAAGGAAGAUUUGACUGUUAUUGAACCGGUUCACAAACAAGUUCUCAGGGGCAGUUAAGCUUUCGGACCUUUCAAAGGUUUUCAUUGAGGUAAUCUAAAUAUAAGUAGCAGCAGAAAGUAAUUGAUGGCAUCUGAUUUCUUUAUCAUCGAUCCAUCCAUCAAAUUUUCGAUCAUGAUUUCACCGUUUAAUAAUGAGUUAAAAUGGCUGCACUUCACGGCGGAGAUGGUGGCAACGACCCUCCAAAUUGGGGGUGGAACCCCGAAUGGGGUUGUAGGCGUACGAGUGGUAUUAGCACAGGGAGAGUUAGCACAGGGAGAGCUGCUGCUGCUAACAAUGAUCUGUAGCGGGAGUUUCAGAAUUCGGGACGCCAAAUCUCACUUAUGUUGAAUAACGAUCUCAGCAGGUGGCAGGCAAUCGGGGACCACGCCAAGUGGUACAAGAGCUAUUUGGGGACCUAUGUCGCUACCGUCCCACAUAAUUACGAGUCGUGGGAUCAGGUGCCCCAGCCCAUCAAUGAUGGACUUACUGACUGGCUUAUGAGACGGUUUUACUUGGAACCAUAUCUAGAUCACCCAGAAAGUCACCCCUUACGAGAGGCCGUGACCAGGAUG